rnacentral:rRNA from 1 species
UGGGGGAUAUUGCACAAUGGGCGAAAGCCUGAUGCAGCGACGCCGCGUGGGGGAUGAAGGCCUUCGGGUUGUAAACUUCUUUUGCUCUGAACAAGGCGCACCAUGGGGUGUGUUGAGUGUAGGGGUUGAUUAGCGCCGGCUAACUACGUGCCAGCAGCCGCGGUAAUACGUAGGGCGCGAGCGUUGUCCGGAAUUAUUGGGCGUAAAGGGCGUGUAGGUGGCUGGUUGCGUCUGUCGUGAAAGCUCAUGGCUUAACUGUGGGUUUGCGGUGGGUACGGGCUGGCUUGAGUGCAGUAGGGGAGGCUGGAAUUCCUGGUGUAGCGGUGGAAUGCGCAGAUAUCAGGAGGAAUACCGGUGGCGAAGGCGGGUCUCUGGGCUGUUACUGACACUGAGGAGCGAAAGAAUGGGGAGCGAACAGG